CUCCCCCCUCCCUCCCCCACCCACCACACCAUGGUGAGGAAUGUUCCAAGCCGCGCCCAAAGCCGAUGCUACAAUCCAACACAAUCAUCACCCAUUGCUACAAGUGAUUUUGCCGAUGUGUCGCUGCUGCAAGUGGCGACCGGGGACGAUGUGUCAUUGCGCAACGUUCGGUAAGAAGCAUGCUGGUGCAAGGGAGCACACACCUCAACAUGGGGCUGGCUGGGAGGAAGCGCGACGUCGAGCUGGGAUUGGCGUCGUCGUUUCACAGCCACUGCGAAGGAGCAUCCAAUGGAAGCACCACCUUGGGUCGCGGGUGUUGCGAGAAAACGUCCAAUGGAAGCACCACCAACAGUCGCGGGUGUUGCGAUGAAUGGGCAUAUUUUGCAACAGGGUCUAACAAGAUCGGGUGCAUUGAUUGUUCCUGAAGAUGGGACUGCGUAAGAAGGCGGCGAUGGAUUCUAUAGCGUGCGAAUGCGGUGCACGCUGAGGGUUUGCUAGACUGGUUGGUGCUCCCGGCUAGUCGGCAAGCGACUUGGUGAGGCCACCGUAUCUCUUGGUUUGCAUGGUGCAAGGUCAGGGUACAUCAUCAAUCUUGUAGAUAUGGUGAUAGUUUUCGUCAAUAAGAUGGAUUUGGGUCGAUCUAUGUAUUUUUCUUGUAAGGCCUUGCUGAAUAAUACAAUAAAGAUUGCUUUGUGCAUGCAUAGCUCGAUGCAGAGGCCAGGGGUAAUCCUUCUUUUCGAGAGUUUUUUUUUUGUUCGUGGGAUCUUCCUUUAUUUGUGGGUAAUCCUUCUUUUCGAUAAAGAGGGAUCUUCCUUUA